rnacentral:rRNA from 1 species
AAUCAACGCUGGCGGCGUGCCUCAGACAUGCAAGUCGAACGAUUAAAGCUCUCUUCGGAGAGUGUAUAGAGUGGCGCACGGGUGAGUAACACGUAAGUAAUCUACCCUCGAGUGGGGAAUAACAACCGGAAACGGUUGCUAAUACCGCAUAAUGCAGCGGCACCGCAAGGUGACAGUUGUUAAAGAUUUAUCGCUUGAGGAGGAGCUUGCGGCAGAUUAGCUAGUUGGUAGGGUAACGGCUUACCAAGGCUACGAUCUGUAACCGGUCUAAGAGGACGGUCGGUCACACUGACACUGAAUAACGGGUCAGACUCCUACGGGAGGCAGCAGUCGGGAAUUUUGGGCAAUGGGCGAAAGCCUGACCCAGCAACGCCGCGUGAAGGAUGAAGUAUUUCGGUAUGUAAACUUCGAAAGAAUAGGAAGAAUUAAUGGCGGUACUAUUUAUAAGGUCCGGCUAACUACGUG